rnacentral:rRNA from 1 species
AGUUACCAGCACGUUAUGGUGGGCACUCUAAGGAGACUGCCGGUGGACAAACCGGAGGAAGGUGGGGAUGACGUCAAGUCAUCAUGGCCCUUACGGCCUGGGCUACACACGUGCUACAAUGGUCGGUACAAAGGGUUGCCAAGCCGCGAGGUGGAGCUAAUCCCAUAAAACCGAUCGUAGUCCGGAUCGCAGUCUGCAACUCGACUGCGUGAAGUCGGAAUCGCUAGUAAUCGCGGAUCAGCAUGCCGCGGUGAAUACCGGUUCCCGGCCUU